UACGGAGGGUGCGAGCGUUGUCCGGAAUCACUGGGCGUAAAGGGCGCGUAGGCGGCGCGGAAAGUCAACGGUGAAAGCUCGGGGCUCAACCCCGAGUCGGCCGUCGAUACUUCUGUGCUCGGGCACUGUAGAGGCAGGUGGAAUUCCGGGUGUAGCGGUGGAAUGCGUAGAGAUCCGGAAGAACACCGGUGGCGAAGGCGGCCUGCUGGGCAGUAGCUGACGCUGAUGCGCGACAGCGUGGGGAGCAAACAGG
rnacentral:rRNA from 1 species